UCCUUUCUUUCCCACCCCCACACCAACCCAUCCAUCUCCUCGCUGCCUCCUCCCUUCCAGAUCUCCUCGCUGCCCGACGGAGAGAGAGAGCUGCCUCCUCCCUUCCAGAUCGCCGCUGGCACCUCCCUCCGGCGGAGCUGGCCGUCGUCCAUGGCCUCCCGCACGCCCUACUCCUCUCACCCCUCCCCUUCCCUCACCCAACCAAAUCGCACGUCCAUGGCCACAUCCCAGCUCGAUCUCGUCGGGAACGAGGCCACCUGCAACCACCGGCCUCCAUCAAUCCAACCAUCCAUCCAUGCCCGCGGCAGCACUCCCGCCGCCCGUGCUCCUUCCCCAGCAGCGAGAGGCUUCGAGAGAGCCGAGGCGCGCUCCGAGCGGGGCGAUCCACCAUCCGUCCCAACCUCCUCCGCCCGCCUCCUUCUGUUUUCUGCGGGUCCUGCAGAUGGCGGCGACGGGCGUCGGCGCCGGGUGCCUCGCCCCAGCGUCCGCCUACGCGCUGAUCCGGCGACGGCGGCCCGGGCGUCCGCCUGCGUCGUCCGCACGCGGCUCUGGUGCGUCGCGCGUGGCCGCUACGUCGUCGACCUCAGCAGGGAGGGCCCCGCGGCGCGCCCCGCGCAGCAGCAGCAGCAGCUGGCCCCGCCCGUCAUGCCCGGCUUCCUCGCGCCGCCCCUGCCCGCGCCUGCCCAGUCGCCGGCCUCGACGCAGCCGAGACGGACUUCAGGAAGGCGCUGGACUCGGCGCUGUUCCGGCGGUGGCUGGAGAACCUGCAGGCGGAGAAGGGCCUGCUCGCCCACGGGAAGCUCAGCCUCCGGCAGAUCCUCAUCCAGGGGGUGGACAUGUUUGGGCAGCGCGUGGGGUUCCUCAAGUUCAAAGCCGACAUCGUCGACGAGGAAACCAAAGCCAAGAUUCCAGGGAUUGUCUUUGCAAGAGGGCCUGCUGUUGCUGUGUUGAUUCUUUUGGAGUCCAAAGGGCAAACUUAUGCUGUUCUCACUGAACAGGUAUAUAUAUUACUGUGAUUUGCAGUGAAUUGUUGCAUAUGCGAAUAGUAAUAUUGUGUAGCUUGAUUAUUUGUAUUCAACUAUGCGAUGCAUGAGGAGAAACGGGUUGUUGCCCACAGCACUCUGCGGCGACGUCUUCUUCUCCUCUCUUCGCGGGUGCUCGCCUGUCCAUGCUGCCACCCAUCAAUGUUGACAAGCCACCAUCUAAAAGGUUGUCCGAGGAGUUACUUGUUACAGAAACUGCUGGUUUCGAACGCUAGCAAGCUCCUGGCAUGGACAAGACAGAAGUGGGAAGGCUAUUGCUGCUCCAUGCUCCCGGCUUGACUUAAAUAUAUGGACCUGAUUAUCUUGUUUCUGUGCCGAUUUACUUGUUUCUGUCUUACUUUGCCUAGUGUUCGAACCAGUUGGUCUGUUAGAUUUUGAAUGGCAAGUCGAUAGACUCCGUUGCUCCAUCUGUACAUAAUUCUGUUUGUGUUCGUUGUAGUGGUAAUUAUGGCUUUAAUAGUUAUUGAAGAUUGCACCUGUAAAUCUAGAUCUACUUGGAUCCUGGUGGCUUCUUUUGCCAAGCAAUAUCAUGUGCUUAUUAGUUGCAAGUUGUAUUGGUUUGCUCUGUUGCCAUGUUAAUUCUGCAACAUAUUUGGUUUUGUCUGAUUAAAAAAUUGGUCAUGCUCAUGAGCAGUAUAUAUGCACUUGGUUGGUUCGUUGUUGGCAGUUUAGCUACACAAACUGACUGACAUUGCACAAUAAAAUGUAGCAGAUUUGCUAGCAAUCCUUCUUUCUCUCAUAUAGAAGUACAUGCUAUCUAACGUGAGCAAAAUCAUUGCGUAACUACAGGUACAUCAUAUGACUAAUUUACACAGAAUACUGAUACUCGACCCCAUGCAUUCAGUUUCAGAACUUGAAACUAAUUAACCUGUGGAAACUAACCUGACUAGUAGCUUCUCUGGCUUCCAGUUUACAACUUCUAGGAUAUCAAUCAUUCAUUCUCAAGUUGCUGCUGGCAGCUACAAGUCGCCUUUUUCUGGAAUUUUCAUGUUCUUUUUUUGUGUGUAUAUGCCUUCCUCUUCGAUUUCGAGAUUGUGAUUGAGGUCAAUUGAUGGUGGUGGUUGUGCGAUGCAGAUGUUCGGGAUGGUGGAGAAGGAGAUGGAGUACCGGGUCGAGCUUUUCAACCGGCAAAUUUGGGGCUGAGGAAAGAAGACGAGGAGCAACUUCUCUCUAGUCUGGUCGUUGGAACUUCAGGACAAGGUGAAGGUUUUCAAAUGUUGAAGGAGGAGGACAAUAGGAACUUGUGUGAUGUCUUGUCAUCUAUUUUCUUUUCUUUGUUGUAGAAUAGUUCUGUUUGGCACUUACUGGUUGGAUGUAAAGAUAUGUACUGCUAGAAUGAAUGCAUGUAAAGAUAUUUUGGGCUCCUAUAAUAUUUCAUGUUGCUUUGAAAAUGUAUCGGAACUGGGCUAGGCCCAAGAUAACUUGUAGUGUGAUGUGUUGUAAUGUAAAUGGCAUAAUAAAAGAAGUUGGAUUGGAUCAA